CACGUAGGGGGCAAGCGUUGUCCGGAAUCAUUGGGCGUAAAGAGCUCGUAGGCGGCUCGGUAAGUCGGGUGUGAAACCCCCCAGGCUCAACCUGGGGGACGCCACCCGAUACUGCUGUGGCUAGAGUCCAGUAGGGGAGUGUGGAAUUCCCGGUGUAGCGGUGAAAUGCGCAGAUAUCGGGAGGAACACCAGCGGCGAAGGCGGCACUCUGGGCUGGAACUGACGCUGAGGAGCGAAAGCGUGGGUAGCAAACAGG
rnacentral:rRNA from 1 species